rnacentral:misc_RNA from 1 species
GGAAAAAGGAACAAGAUGAGCUUAGAUCCUGAAUAGCUUCAUAGAACUCCCAACAAAUACACGCUUCAUGUCAAAACACAUGGAUGAUGUUCUAAUAUAAUGGAAAAUACCACUAUCUUUUGCUUAGAAUGAUUGUUUGUGAGGCUUACCCCUUUCUAAUAUUAUAACAAGUUCGGUACAUACAACACUGGAACCAUCUCAGCAAUAGACCCUUCCAUCUCGGGCGUAAACUGAUAUCCCAAAUCAACCUACUGAUGCCCCGAUUCCUAAAACAAAGAGAAAAACUGUGAAAAAGUACCCUCUCUACAGAAUUGCAACAUCCAAAUAGUCUCCAAUCUGGAAGCCAAGCUCAGCCAAUGCUUUGCCAUCAUCUAAUUUCCCAUUUCUGUUAGAGUAGGUCUUUCCAACCUUCACGAAGCAACGGAGUUUUCCGCAAUCAGAACUUUGUGUUACUAAUACCUCAACCAGCUCAGAUUGCUCAUAUUAAUAAUAUAGUACUGUAUUAAGAUUUAUUUUCACACCUAGUACUAGUAGACAUCUUAUUUUCUUUCUUUCUUUUAUGUCUUCUCAGUCUCAUAGGGUUUGGGGAGGAAUGUAAGAGAGAAAAAUUAGCGGAUCUGAACAUGCACAUGAUAUGUGACUAUAUGACAAUGAAAUAGAGGGAGCAAGGGAGAGUGACUGACCUCUCGCACCACAAAGCGGCCAUUUUUGUCAGGAUAUACAAAAGCAAAGGACAAUCUUGCAUCUCUUCUCCUUGCUGCUGGAGCCACCUCUUUGACCUGUGAAACAGGUCAGAUUAAGUAUUGAGCCAAAAAGACUCUGACCAAAAUUACAAAGCACAAAGAUAAUCGAGACAAACAUAAAAAUAGGAAUUUUCAGAAGAUAUGACAAAAGCAUGCAGCAAUGCACAGCAAAAGCAGUCAUGGAAACAAGGUUAUAGCAUUCAGAAACAGUUCCACUGUAAUCACAAAUUCAGACACACCAGACAUAAUAAUGAGUCAAUAGAAAUAAAACUCUAUGCGAUACUAGAUGCUUCCCAAUAGAUUUUUGCAGAGCAAUGGCACCUCAUAUCAACAUAGGGUAAAUUUCACCUAUCAUCCCUGAACUAGGGGUCUAUGACAAGGUGGUACCAAAAUUUUAAUUUGUAACACAAAACUCUCUCUUGACUUUAAUUUAAAUAACAGUAAAAUCUUUUUUACCUAUUAUAACAGGUUUCCCAGUUAAUUUAUUGACGUGACAAUUUUAAUUUGCAAUACAAAACUCCCCCUUGACUUUAAUAUAAAAAAACAGUAAAACCCUUUUUACAUAUUAUAACAGAUUCCCAGUUACUUUGUUGACAUGGCAUAAAAAAAGACCCCAUUAUUCCCCUUACACUACCCCUCUCCCCCUUCUCUAUUGCUCAUUUUGUAUUUAUUUAACUCAAACUGCCGAUCAAUGUGGAAUUUGUUGAAAUCCAGAUCAGGUAGGAGGAGGAUCAGUCACAAGCCAUCACAAGCACCUUGAAGACAAAGUAUUGAAAUUAACAAAGAAGAAAAGGGGACUAUGAGGUACCCUCUCUCUCCAUCUCCAAACCCCACUCUCUCUCUCAAAUUCAUCUUUCUCCAUUUCUUUUCAGAAAAUGGGCACACCACCACCAAAGGAACUAUAGGCACCAUGUUUCUAGUUCACGACAAGACAACAGACCCAUGAGCUCGAACACCCUACGCCAUCAAAGUCGUUGAGAAAUCCACCCUCCAUAAGAAUUUUGAGGCUGACAACUGCAACUGCUGGGAGAUCCAGGUCAACAAGCGAGGAAAAUUGAAAUUUUGCUAAAAUUUUGUCCAAUUGGAUGUUUACCACUGUUAUGGCUAUGCUUUAUAAAAGUGGUGGAUAUACAAAAGUGAGGAAGAAGAGGAGGAUUGAACUGGUCUUUGACUCAAAGUAGAAACCUUUGCCACCACAACCUUCAACAUCCAAUCUUUUCCCUUAUCCUUCUUAUCGUCAGCAUUGUUGUGGAUCUGUGUUAGCGUAUCUGGGUUUUGGUCCAAUUGGUUCAAUUUUCACUCCCUCCUUUUGGUUUUGAUUGUUCUAAUUGUAAAUUCAGAGAUUGUGUAAAUUGAUUCGAUCUUUUUUAUUUAUUUGGAUUUGUACUAGGAUUGUGAAAUUAUAUAUGAAUUUUAAGAUUGUGGACUUGGAUUUGAUUGUCUAUUGUAUGAUUUUGGAUUUAGCUUGUUAAUUGUUUGUA